GUAGCAGGUUAGGAUAAUUAAAGUAGCAGGUUAGGAUAAUUAAAGUAGCAGGGUAGGAUCAAUAAAGUAGAAGGGUAGGAUCGAUAAAGUAGGAGGGUAGGAUAAUUAAAGUAGCAGAUUAGGCUAAUUAAAGUAGCAGGUUAGGCUAAUUAAAGUAGAAGGUUAGGCUAAUUAAAAUAGCAGGUUAGGCUAAUUAAAAUAGCAGGUUAGGCUAAUUAAAAUCGCAGGUUAGGAUAAUUAAAGUAGCAGGUUAGGAUCAUUAAAGUAGCAGGUUAGGAUCAUUAAAGUAGCAGGUUAGGAUCAUUAAAGUAGCAGGUUAGGAUCAUUAAAGUAGCAGGUUAGGAUAAUUAAAGUAGCAGGUUAGGAUAAUUAAAGUAGCAGGUUAGGAUAAUUAAAGUAGAGGUUAGGAUAAUUAAAGUAGAGGUUAGGAUAAUUAAAGUAGAGGUUAGGGUAAUUAAAGUAGAGGUUAGGAUAAUUAAAGUAGAGGUUAGGAUAAUUAAAGUAGCAGGUUAGGAUAAUUAAAGUAGAGGUUAGGGUAAUUAAAGUAGAGGUUAGGAUAAUUAAAGUAGAGGUUAGGAUAAUU